rnacentral:rRNA from 1 species
GACGAACGCUGGCGGCGUGCCUAACACAUGCAAGUCGAACGAAGUGGCGAACGGGUGAGUAAUGCGUAAUCAACCUGCCCUUCAGAGGGGGACAACAGUUGGAAACGACUGCUAAUACCGCAUACUGAAGGAGGGGAUUGCGUCUGGUUAGCUAGUUGGGGGGGUAACGGCCCACCAAGGCGAUGAUCAGUAGCCGGUCUGAGAGGAUGAACCACCACAUUGGGAAUGGGAAACGGCCCAGACUCCUACGGGAUGCAGCAGUGGGGAAUCAUCCGCAAUGGACGAAAGUCUGACGGAGGAAAGCCGGGUGAGUGAUGACGGCCUUCGGGUUGUAAAGCUCUGUUAAUCGGGACGCGUUACCGGAAUAGAAAGCCACGGCUAACUACGUGCCAGCAGCCGCGGUAAUAC